UACGUAGGGGGCGAGCGUUGUCCGGAUUUAUUGGGCGUAAAGAGCGUGUAGGCGGCUUUACAGGUCCGUUGUGAAAACUCGAGGCUCAACCUCGAGACGCCGGUGGAAACCGUAAAGCUAGAGUCCGGAAGAGGAGAGUGGAAUUCCUGGUGUAGCGGUGAAAUGCGUAGAUAUCGUAAGGAAGACCAGUGGCGAAGGCGGGUCUCUGGACAGUUCCUGACGCUGAGGCACGAAGGCCAGGGGAGCAAACGGG
rnacentral:rRNA from 1 species